rnacentral:rRNA from 1 species
CAGCAGCCACGGUAAUACGGAGGGUGCAAGCGUUAAUCGGAAUUACUGGGCGUAAAGCGCACGCAGGCGGUCUGACAAGUCAGAUGUGAAAUCCCCGGGCUUAACCUGGGAACUGCAUUUGAAACUGUCAGGCUGGAGUCUUGUAGAGGGGGGUGGAAUUCCAGGUGUAGCGGUGAAAUGCGUAGAGAUCUGGAGGAAUACCGGUGGCGAAGGCGGCCCCCUGGACAAAGACUGACGCUCAGGUGCGAAAGCGUGGGGAGCAAACAGGAUUAGAUACCCGAGUAGUCCCUGUCUUUUAUAA